UCAAUCGUUACAUUUUUUUCUGACCCUGUUGUUGUCCUGCGGUUUGCUUCCACUUCUCAUAGUGGAGAAGAAAAUAAACAGCAUCUUGAUGAUAUAACGUUAGCGUUAGCAUAGUUGUUAUCUAAUUAGCCAAGUGGUUAAAUUAGCUGUUAACGUUGCCAUACCUUGGUGACAGUACGCAUUUUCUUUGGUGCUCUGGGGCGCUUUCUUGCUAGCAGCCUUCCUCCCUCAAAUGUUUGAGUGAACACUCCUGUGGAGUUUACUAACGAUAUGCCCAAUUUCAACUUUUCUUUAACGUUACUUCUCUACAUUGCUGCUGCAUGCUAGCUUGCUCUCUCGCGCAUGUCCGACAAAAGUGAACUGUUACCUUAUCUACUCAUCAGCGCUGUGUUACAGUGAGCUAUGUGUGUGGACGUGGCUCUUGACGAGAUCAACUCUGGAACAGGGUCAACUAGCAAAUGUAAGAAGAUGAAUGGAGGUGGAAGAUGGUGACAGCCUUACACAGAAAGAGAGGCUGAUGUCCUUCAGAGAAAUGCCAGAGAAAAAGAAGAACCAAGAUCUAUCAAGAUGAGCUUAAACAGAGGCAACUUUUAAAUCUGCUCUCACUUUUCUUGCACAGAUGCAUAUUGCAAGCCUGCCGUUUCAUCAUGGUUUGAUUCCAGUCAGAUGCAGAACCAUAUGAAUUAUAGAUCAGCUUAUAUUCCAGUAGAUCCUAUGCAGUCAGGGGAGGAAAAAAACAAAACCACAUCUAAUUUUAACGCUGUUAAGAGCAAAUAAACCUCUAAUUCUGCUGGGUCAGUCACGUUUUUCAGCUCAAAAACAAUUAGUGUCUUCUCAAGCUGAAUCUGCAGCAUGGCAAGCACGGUAUGUGGUGUUCAGACUUAAUAGUAACGGAUGGCCCAAUCCAGUUUGUUGAUAAACCAAAUCCUCACUUAAAUGAGAAAUCCAUGCAGUGCUGCUGCCAGUUCAGCUGCAUGGCUCUGGAUCAGCCUGAUUACUUUGGACUGACUGCAGCAGAUCAAAGUAAUCCCCAAACAUUAGAGAAGUACAUACAUGGAACAACCAUGUAGUACACUGAAGUACAGUGAGACAAUUUGUGCGCUGUACAUUUUGAAUGUAUUUUGGGGAGGCAAUGAAGGUGCGUGUGUGCAUAUGUGUGUGUGUCUAUAUCUACUUGCAAACGCUGCCGUGUGUUUUGCAGGAACAGCACAUGCUGGGUUUUAUAAUCAGGAUGCAGGGAUCACCUUUUGCCCCUGUCAUCAGUCAGACCUGUGCGAGAGCUCCCAAACAGGGGCAGAUGGGGACACAGAGACGCUAAGGUCCACAUUUAACACAAGGGAUGCAGUCUGGAAAAUGGUAGAAUAAAGGAGACAGACAGGGACUGAUGCCCCUGAAUUUAUACCUCUCUCUUACAAGCAAGCAAAAUAUUCUGUGAUUUUAGAAAAAGAUAUUGUGUUGUUUUUGUCUUGCCUAGUUUUUAAAGCGGAGGUCUGAAGUCUUUACACUCAGAUAUUAGUGUGACAACUAUUAUAUGUUUUUUGUCAACUCCAGCUAAAAAGUACAUUUAAAUUAUAUGUUAAAUAUUCAAAUGCAA